rnacentral:rRNA from 2 species
UACGAAGGGUGCAAGCGUUACUCGGAAUUACUGGGCGUAAAGCGUGCGUAGGUGGUGAGUUAAGUCUGAUGUGAAAUCCCCGGGCUCAACCUGGGAAUGGCAUUGGAUACUGGCUCGCUGGAGUGCGGUAGAGGGUGGUGGAAUUCCCGGUGUAGCAGUGAAAUGCGUAGAGAUCGGGAGGAACAUCUGUGGCGAAGGCGGCCACCUGGACCAGCACUGACACUGAGGCACGAAAGCGUGGGGAGCAAACAGG